rnacentral:tRNA from 1 species
GCCAACGUGGCGUAGUGGUUUGAGUGUUGGUCUAUGACUCUGAAGACUAGGGUUUGAUUCCCAGCUUGCCC